AAUAAUAGAGACUAAUAGUUCCAAAAUCUUUGGACUGAAUGUUGGAUUAAUUUGUUAAUUUUAAGCAACUAAACAUGACCUUGGAUUAGAUAAAAAAAUUUUAUUCUAAAAGUUAGUCCAAUCCUGCCUAAUUCCAGCUGCCAAACGUAGAUUAGGUGAUAUUCAAUUCAAGAAACUGAUUACAAAGUUUGGAAGCUUUUCUUUCAAGUAAUAAUCACUGUUUUUGUAACAGAAAAUCGGCUAGUGAUUGCAAAGUUUUCUACAACAAACAUUGCUGCCAAGUAACAAUUAAAAAGCAUUAAUCAUGUUAUUGAUUACUGUAAAUAAUAAGACGUACCUCAACAAGAUGAAGGUAAAGGUCCUAACAACAACACCACCAAUAACAACAACAACCUUAUUAAAAAAAAAAAAAUCAUCAUUAAUGUACGAUUUUUUUUCCCUCUAUGGUGCACCACCAAUAACAACAACAACCUUAUUAAGACGUACCUCAACAAGAUGAAGGUAAAGGUCCUAACAACAACACCACCAAUAACAACAACAACCUUAUUAAAAAAAAAAAAAUCAUCAUUAAUGUACGAUUUUUUUUCCCUCUAUGGUGAUGAACAUAAAACUGAGCAAGUGUAGUCAGCUGGAGCUAGAUUGAGACAUUGACACAUGCACAAUGGCAUUGGGGUUCAUAGAACUAUAGAACAAGUACAGCAAUUGGUCCCUAUUUAUACAUAUUCUGCACACAUGGACUUGAUUGAAUAUUAAGCUAGCAAAGAGAAUAUCUAUUAAAAAAUUUGAAAAAUUUUGGUAGGAAAUCUUGCAGAAAAAAUGACAUCAUGAUCUUCUGCUAUAAAGUGAACUAAUUUCUUUGAAAUAUCUCUGUAGAAGUAUGCUUAGAAUUUUCCUUGAAGUGCCAUGAAUUUAUGAUAAAAAUGAUACGAAGAUGUCAUUCUUAUGUGCACAAAUCGUAGCUAGGAACCAAUAAGUGGUGGACUUAUGUGGUGGUUGGACCCGCCUCUAGCCUAGAUUAUGAUCUUCUCAUGAUUUGAUCUUCUCUUAUUUAAAUUUCACUCAUUGGUGAU
rnacentral:lncRNA from 1 species